AAGGGUUGCUGGUUUGCAGAUCUUGCUGCAGCUUCUGUGCUCUCCCCUUUCUUGGAGCCCAGGACAGCCCUCCCUCGACCUCCCCCUUCCCUUCCUUCUUCCCCCUCCCAGUGUCCCUAAAGGGGCCCACCUUCAAGAGCUCCUAGCUGAGCUGAGCUGCUGCCCCCACCCCCAGUCCCAGCAGCUUGCUCUCAGGAGCCUGGGAACCGGAUCAGCCCCAGGGCCACUUCCAGAUGGAAGACGCACCUGCGGCCCACUUCCCUGGUCUGUUUGGCUGAUGGGGGCAGAAAGAAAUGACUGGCGGGGGGGCUCCCCACUGCUCUGAGCCUGAUGUCACAGAGCCUUCUCCUCUCCCUCCGCCCUUCCCCCUCUGCUCUGAGAGACUAGCCCCGCCCUACAGUGACGUCACUGUACCCACCCUCUCUCACCAUCUUGGAAGUCUUUGUCUCUGGUGGAGGCUAUGAGUGGGGUGAGCAGCUGGAGGUCCGAGUGCCCCCCCACUUUCCUUCUCCACACCCCUCCCCUCCGUUACCCCCAUCUUCCAGACUGACAGAUCCGGAGGGUCCUGCAAGUGUCGAAGUGUCUGUGAGCGAGGGCCUGGUGAAUGGGGAGUUUCCACGUACUUUGCUGUGGAACAGAAAGAGGGGACUGUUCCUGAACCUGCGGAUCUCUGUGAUUUACAGCCUGAAAGAAAAGAGUUGUUUUAAUGUGCACUUCUCUAAUUACAAGGAAUUUGGAGCAUUUUGUCUCCCGUUUGUAGAGGACACUGAGCCAGAAAAGAGGAUGUGCCUCUCUCUUGUCCAGGGUCUGCAAGGUUUAUAUUAUAUAGGAUUUAUGCCAGAGUACCCUCACAUGAACAGCCAGGGCAGACAAGCUGCCUCCCUUGGUGCCCCAAUCUCCCUCACCCCCUUCCCCGCCCAGAUCUUUGUCUCCUUUUGGCGGGAGAAAAGAGGCUGAGCCGCACCCUUUCCCCGGACCAGCCCUUUCUUUCUCUGCUCUGGAAGUUGAGAGGAAUCCAAGCGCCAUUCAAGGGUUGCUGGUUUGCAGAUCUUGCUGCAGCUUCUGUGCUCUCCCCUUUCUUGGAGCCCAGGACAGCCCUCCCUCGACCUCCCCCUUCCCUUCCUUCUUCCCCCUCCCAGUGUCCCUAAAGGGGCCCACCUUCAAGAGCUCCUAGCUGAGCUGAGCUGCUGCCCCCACCCCCAGUCCCAGCAGCUUGCUCUCAGGAGCCUGGGAACCGGAUCAGCCCCAGGGCCACUUCCAGAUGGAAGACGCACCUGCGGCCCACUUCCCUGGUCUGUUUGGCUGAUGGGGGCAGAAAGAAAUGACUGGCGGGGGGGCUCCCCACUGCUCUGAGCCUGAUGUCACAGAGCCUUCUCCUCUCCCUCCGCCCUUCCCCCUCUGCUCUGAGAGACUAGCCCCGCCCUACAGUGACGUCACUGUACCCACCCUCUCUCACCAUCUUGGAAGUCUUUGUCUCUGGUGGAGGCUAUGAGUGGGGUGAGCAGCUGGAGGUCCGAGUGCCCCCCCCACUUUCCUUCUCCACACCCCUCCCCUCCGUUACCCCCAUCUUCCAGACUGACAGAUCCGGAGGGUCCUGCAAGUGUCGAAGUGUCUGUGAGCGAGGGCCUGGUGAAUGGGGAGUUUCCACGUACU